AUUGAACGCUGGCGGCAUGCUUUACACAUGCAAGUCGAACGGCAGCGCGGGCUUCGUCCUGGUUGCGAGUGGCGAACGGGUGAGUAAUGCAUCGGAACGUGCCCACUACUUGUGGAUUGCCCGUCGAAAGCCGGAUUUAUACCUCAUACGACCUGCGGCUGAAAGCUGGGGACCGAAAGGCCUCGCGCUUUUGGAGCUGCCGAUGUCGGAUUAGCUAGUUGGUGGGGUAAAGGCUUACCAAGGCGACGAUCCGUAGCUGGUCUGAGAGGACGACAAGCCACACUGGAACUGAGACACGGCCCAGACUCCUACGGGAGGCAGCAGUGGGGAAUAUUGGACAAAGGGGGCAAGCCUGAUCCAGCCAUGCCGCGUGCGGGAAGAAGGCCUUCGGGUUGUAAAGCGCUUUUGUUGGGGAAGAAAACCUGUGGGCUAAUACCCCGGGGGGAUGACGGUACCGGAAGAAUAAGCACCGGCUAACUACGUG
rnacentral:rRNA from 1 species